rnacentral:lncRNA from 1 species
GUACAUCCCGAGAAGAAAAGAAAACUAUUGAAUGAUCAUCGAUACGUCAGAGUUUUCCUUAGUUGUUUUCCUCUUGGAUUGCUCCGGCUUCUCGAUAUCGAUAACAGUAGGCUCCACAACUGGGGUGGGCUUUGAUUUCUUAUGGCUUUAAGGAUUUCAGUCUCUGCUGGGGUUAACAUAGGUAUGGGCUCCGUAGUGAUAGCUUCAGUUGUCUUUGCCUCGAUAGGAGACCGGUCUGACUCCUUCACUGGCUCCUCUGUGACUUCAGGAGAUGACUCAAGAUCUUCCUUCACGCCCAUCUCGAUGGCCAUCUUUGAAGUGAUCUUAGAGAUGUCUACCUCGAGAUACAGCUUCUUGAUCAGGUUG